ensembl:lncRNA
CUGGAUGUUAGCACAGAGGCCCAUACGCACAGAUUUCAGUGCAGUUCAGGAGGCACUGCGAAGGGACUGAGUCACUUUGGCAUACCUGUGGGGAUGGGGAGGAAGGGUUGGGUCCAGAAGUGUCAUGUCAGGGAAGGAGGAAUCCUCCUUGUUUCACAUGCAACACAUGGAGAGGAAAGAGAUACUACAGAACAUUUAGGCUUUGACCGGGUGUUUCAGUGGCAAGAAGUUGACUCGACAUUCCUAGAAAACUGCGUGGGUCAAGGAAGAAGAGCCAGGGAGGAUCAAUGUAUUUCAUCAAGAGAAAGAAAGUAAUGCUGGCGUGGAGCCAUAGGAGAAGGACAGCUGGGAUUGAUGCCCGCAAAAGGAAGUUCCCUGUGAAUAAGGAAGGAUGUCAUGCAAGAGUUGGGAACUGUAUGGGAAUGUCCAGGAUUCACUUGGGACUGUGAACCAACACUCCGGCAUAGGGAAUGCUCCCCUGUCAUAAUACUUCUGCCAUAAGAAACCACAAACUUUUUCUAGCUGUUGUCAUUACACUGAAAAAUAGCUACCAAAAUGUAGAAUUUGGUAAAGACCUGUGGACAGAUCCAAGAUAUGACACCGGGAGAAAAUAAGAGAAUCAUUUGACUAAAAGAUUUAAUUUAAAAGUAUAUAUGCUGCAUGGAGAAGUAGGAGAAAACAGCCAAUCGAUAGAUACUUUCUUCAGAGUGGAGGUAAUACUCGGGGAAUGAUUCAUAAAUCACUCAGUGGGAUAAAUUCAGAGAACACCUUGCUAAAAUGUUGGCAAUACAUCCCUGAAAACAGGAUCAGUGCAUAAUAAUGGAGAGGAAGCUAAUAUUUUUCUAAUUCAUCUAACCUUGCAACUUGUAUUAAAUGUGAGCUGGACUGAUAGCACAUGCUGCAUUAUGAUGAUACACUGCUAUACUUUGUGUGCUUGGACUAAGGCAGUUGGACUGUGAAGACUGUUAGGCUCCUGUGGUGGUUUCUUCCACUUCUCUUCUUUGUUUCUUUUUAAUUAAAUAUGUAGUAAAGGAAUUAAUUUAUCAAAGUGAUGGGUUAAAUCCAGGCACACCACGUGUAUACAGCAAGUGACUGCAAACUUCCACACACGGAUCUGCCAGUGCACUUCAGUCUUACCUUUUAGAGCCCACCUCCCUGCUGUCCUGCACAUGCCCAUCUCCACCUCCCGUCUCCACAGACAUCUGACUGCACACCAGGUGUUUCUCCUUCUCCCUCCAAAUCUCCAGCUGCCAUCUAAAUCCUUUUGCCCUCCUCCCUUUACUUCUCAUGGAAUUUAUUUAUGACCGGCACGCUGUCCUUCCUUCGACUGCCUCCCUGUUCCUCCAUUGUACCACGCUGAGGAAACCCUUGUUUAACAGAAGUCAGUGAAAUCAGUAAAGUAAAACAAACGUCUGUUUCACAGUUUUCCUUUAUUGCAUUAAAUAGUGAAGAGAAACAACUGAGAAAUGCAAACAACAUUUUAUAAAGCAGAAUUUUUACUUUAAAAUGCAUGAGAUAAAUAAAAACCAAAUGUUUAGGAAUGUGGCA